CGAAAAUGUUGUCUCUCUUGAGUGGAUCCUGAGUACGACGGAGCACGUGAAAUUCCGUCGGAAUCUGGGAGGACCAUCUCCUAAGGCUAAAUACUCUCUAGUGACCGAUAGUGAACCAGUACCGUGAGGGAAAGGUGAAAAGCACCCCGGAAGGGGAGUGAAAUAGAACCUGAAACCGUGUGCUUACAAGUAGUCAGAGCCCGUUAAUGGGUGAUGGCGUGCCUUUUGUAGAAUGAACCGGCGAGUUACGAUUUGAUGCAAGGUUAAGCAGUAAAUGUGGAGCCGUAGCGAAAGCGAGUCUGAAUAGGGCGUUUAGUAUUUGGUCGUAGACCCGAAACCAGGUGAUCUACCCUUGGUCAGGUUGAAGUUCAGGUAACACUGAAUGGAGGACCGAACCGACUUACGUUGAAAAGUGAGCGGAUGAACUGAGGGUAGCGGAGAAAUUCCAAUCGAACCUGGAGAUAGCUGGUUCUCUCCGAAAUAGCUUUAGGGCUAGCCUCAAGUGAUGAUUAUUGGAGGUAGAGCACUGUUUGGACGAGGGGCCCCUCUCGGGUUACCGAAUUCAGACAAACUCCGAAUGCCAAUUAAUUU
rnacentral:rRNA from 1 species